rnacentral:lncRNA from 1 species
GUCUUUUUAGCUCACCUGGCCCAAAGGGCCAAGUGAGCUUUUCCCAUCACUUUGCGUCCGGUGUUCCGGCGUCCAGCGACGUUAACUUUUACAAAAAUCUUCUCCUCUGAAACUACUGGGCCAAAUUAAACCAAACUUGGCCACAAUCAUCAUUGGGGUAUCUAGUUUAAAAAUGUGUCCGGUGACCCGGCCAACCAACCAAGAUGGCCACCAUGGCUAAAAAUAGAACAUAGGGGUAAAAUGCAGUUUUUGGCUUAAAACUCAAAAACCAAAGCAUUUAGAGCAAAUCUGACACGAGUAAAAUUGUUUAUCAGGUCAAGAUCUAUCUGCCCUGAAAUUUUCAGAUGAAUCGGACAACCCGUUGUUGGGUUGCUGCCCCUGAAUUGGUAAUUUUAGGGAAUUUUUGCUGUUUUUGGUUAUUAUCUUGAAUAUUAUUAUAGAUAGAGAUAAACUGUAAACAGCAAUAAUGUUCAGCAAAGUAAGAUUUACAAAUAAGUCAACAUGACCAAAAUGGUCAGUUGACCCCUUUAGGAGUUAUUGACCUUUAAAGUCAAUUUUUAACCAUUUUUCGUAAAUCUUAGUAAUCUUUUACAAAAAUCUUCUCCUCUGAAACUACUGGGCCAAAUUAAUCCAAACUUGGCCACAAUCAUCUUUGGGGUAUUUAGUUUUAAAAAUGUGUGGCGUGACCUGGCCAACCAACCAAGAUGGCCGCCAUGGCUAAAAAUAGAACAUACGGGUAAAAUGCAGUUUUUGGCUUAUAACUCAAAAACCAAAGCAUUUAGAGCAAAUCUGACAUGGAGUAAAAGUGUUUAUCAGGUCAAGAUGUAUCUGCCCGAAAUUUUCAGAUGAAUCAGACAACUGGUUGUUGGGUUGCUGCCCCUGAAUUGGUAAUUUUAAGGAAAUUUUGCUGUUUUUGGUUAUUAUCUUGAAUAUUAUUAUAGAUAGAGAUAAACUGUUUACAGCAAUAAUGUUCAGCAAAGUUAGAUCUACAAAUAAGUCAACAUGACCGAAAUG